CUGAAAAGCUAAGACCAUUUUAUCGGAAGCUAAAAAAUGCAACAUAUUGAUCAAAACAGUUAAUACUCUUUGCCUAAAAUCCAUAUAUUACAAGCAAUUUUUUGGAGAACCAACAAUCUGAAUCAUUCUUGCCUUUCCCUCUAAAUAGAAACAAGUAUCUUAAGAUACAAAGGAUUGGAGUAAUAUCAGCCAAAAACCACCUUAAGAACAAAUGAAACCAAGGUCAUUCUAUUGAGAACCUUUCAUCUUUGAGAUAUCUUCGAGCAAAAAUCUAGAUUCAGCAGCAAAAUCAACUGGGGCAACAGCCCUUACUGUUAUUCUUUGCCUCUUUUCAUUAUUGUACUCAUUCUGAGCAACACUGACCCUGAAAAGAUGAGGAUUCCAAGUGGCUUCUUUUAAUUUCAGUUGGUAUGAACUCCCUUCUUCCUCUGACUUCAGUUUAUCAAGUUCAUCAGCAGAGCAACCAAUGAUCUUCUCUGCUUCUUCAUUGAAUGCAGAAACCCAACCUUCACCACUUGCAUCUGAAACUUUAACCACCAUAAUAUACCUUAAACUACACUCUGCAUCAUUCUUUUGGCAUCCUUCACACCAAUAUCCACCUCCAACACCUUCAGUCACCUUCUUAUUGCAAGCCUUGCAAGCCCGGUACCACAUACUCUGGUCAGGCUUGAUGAAACUUAUAUAUGCUCUAAUGCUGAAAAAUGCAGGCUUGUCACCACCUAAGGAGGGAUUGCUUGUCAUAUGAGAGAUGGAGACUCGGUCAGAGUACAUAGACCUUCCUCCACUCUUGGUUGAAGGGCUCAAACCAGAGCCUACUGAGGCCAUCGAAGUCUCUUUACCUUCAGAAUCAUACCAGCAUCUCAGUUUCUUUGACUCAGGAAUGUCUGGAUUGAUCUGUACAAUGCUUCUACCCAACGUAGACAAAGAUACACCUUGAAAAUCUCCAACUUUAAGAGAUUUGAUUGCAACUACAGGUGACUUAUCAGCAAGGUCAAGUAAUUCCUGCCCCAAAUCAGUCGCAAGGUCAUUCCAUAAUGAGACCACAACUGUCUUCCUCGUCUCAUCUGCAAUAGUUAUGUCACGCUUUGGGACAAUCUCAUUGUUGCUCUUUCUUCGGAUGCUCAUUGUUGGAGAAACACUUUGAACGAUUCCAACAACAUCAACAAGCUCAGUUGAAUUAACACAUGGACCCAAUUGAUCAAUUGGAACAAAAUUGAAUUUUGUUUCAGGGAUAAAAGCUGCUUCAUUACUUGCCUCUUCUACUUCAGAAUUCUCAUUUAAAGUCAUUUCAUAAUCAUUUUGCACUGUUCUGAACUGCUUAUUAGCAACUCUAAGAGUUCCCUUUGAUAUGUAAUAAACCUUGCCCAACUGAAAUUUAUCAUAAAAUUUCCUUGCAGCCUCAUUGAACAUUGUCGCUUGUAUCUGUGUACCAUCUUCAUCUGUCAACUCCACAUUGAAAACACACCCUUCUCCUCUUGCAUUCUUGUAAGCACGCAUAUUACCUUUGCUUGUGACUCGGACCUUGAUGGUCCAAUUCCCUUGGUAAGGAUUCAAGGAAACGAGGGGGUGAACUCUUCUUGUCAUGGCCAUUCGUGCUGUAGGAGCCAUAUUUCUAUGCUGUUCAUUUACUAUUUGAGCGGCAGAUUUUGCAACCAUUUCUUGCUUUGGCUUCAAAAGAAUGCCACUUGAUUCUUUUUUAACUUCACCCUUGAUCUCAUGUUCUUGCUUUGGCUUCAAUAUUAUGCCUGAUUCUUCCUUUUUCUCACCCAAUUCCUCAUUUUUCUCAUCUUUGAUCUCCAUUGCAAGUGCAGGAGAAACCACUUCACAUUUUGUUAUGAUCAAAUAAUUCUCUGAUUUACUGGGAAUUUCAUUGACUGUAUAAUCAAGAAUACGAAUAAGACCCAAGUUUUGAAUGUUUCCAGAGAUGAUCUCAGAAGACAGACGGGAGUUGAAAAUUGCUUUUAUCUUCAUCUUUCCAUCAUUAGCAUCAAACCCGUAAGACUUUCCUUUAGGCUCAAGCUUGGUGAUCUGAACGAUGAUCUCAGGGAUAUCAGUGAGUGAAUCUGGUUUGGGGUUUGAAAGCAAGGCGGCUAUAGCAUCUGGGCUCACCCAUUGACCCAUCUCUCUCUCUGUGAUUUGGGAUUUUUUGGUAUUGGAAGACGGAGAUUGGAGGAGGAUGGGGCGUUUGUAUAGAGAGAGUGUGGCGCGAUAUUAGAGUCGAGUGAAUUUGUUU
rnacentral:misc_RNA from 1 species